rnacentral:rRNA from 1 species
AAUCAACGCUAGGCGGCGUGCCUCAGACAUGCAAGUCGAACGAUUAAAGCUCUCUUCGGAGAGUGUAUAGAGUGGCGCACGGGUGAGUAACACGUAAGUAAUCUACCUUCGAGUGGGGAAUAACACCGAGAAAUCGGUGCUAAUACCGCAUAAUGCAGCGGCAUCGCAAGAUGACAGUUGUUAAAGAUUUAUCGCUUGAAGAGGAGCUUGCGGCAGAUUAGCUAGUUGGUAAGGUAAUGGCUUACCAAGGCUACGAUCUGUAACCGGUCUAAGAGGACGGUCGGUCACACUGACACUGAAUAACGGGUCAGACUCCUACGGGAGGCAGCAGUCGGGAAUUUUGGGCAAUGGGCGAAAGCCUGACCCAGCAACGCCGCGUGAAGGAUGAAGUAUUUCGGUAUGUAAACUUCG